rnacentral:lncRNA from 1 species
GGGGAAAAAAGUGGGGUGAGGGGACAACCUAAACGUCCGCCAGGACAGGACCAGUGAAUUUAUAGGUCACCUUACGGUGUAACACUCUAUCGACCUUUCUUCACCAAGGCCCUAAAUCCAUGACAUAGCUUGUGGCCUUUGGGCUUAAAGUGAGAAAGGCAAGAUGGACAGCAGAGUGCAUAGUUUAUCUCUUUUGUGUAAACAAAAAUGAUACCUAUCUGGUUGCUUAUCUGUGCAGAAUGUUAGGUGAGCCAAGGCUGGCCAUGGGGCCCAGUCUGGAGCUUUGAGAUGAGUAACAGGAAUAUGCCUCAAUUCCUGGGGUCCAGCUCAUGCAGAUAAAGGCCAGAGGCAGGUCCUCUUUUGGUGCAAGCCAGGCAAGACUGGUCUUUCUUGCCUCGGGCCCUUUCCCUUCUCAUAGAUGGAGCCCCGCUAAUUUGUCAGGUUGAGGAUGGAUUUAGCGUUUGUUCCACGGGAAUGAAGUCAGUAGGAAAGCAAACCUGUGGGAAUUGCCAAUUGGUGCCGACUCCUCCUCCACAUGGCUGCUGUCCCACCAGCCCUCAUCUGGGACUGUUUCAGGCCUUUGCUGUGCGUUUACAAAUAAAACCAGGCUGCUCUGGGCACGCUUCCGAGGUGAUGCCUGGAGCCUCGCACACUUGGGCCAAAGAUUGAUACAGUGUGUGCACGCCUGGGCCGAUACACCUCUUUUGAUCUGUUUCCGAAGGCAACCUUUGGUCUCCUGCUUCACGUGAUUGAUUAAGUUAGGAUCUCUUUUAGGAAUUCUCCGCACUCAUGCCUCCUCACCAGCUCACAGCGAGCCCUGCCAAAUUUUACUCUCCUUUUAUGCUGCAGACUGUUCUGUUCCAACUGACUAAAUGGAAACUGUGUUCUUAAUAUGCAACCCGUUACCUAGUCCUUUACAUGCAAUCAGUUACCUUGGAAUUCCUGUUUUGCAUUUAGUAUGGUGGGGCACCCUCUUAUCACAUCAUCAGUCAUGUUUCUAGCAAGGUUUUGGCCUAUGAGUAGGGAGUAGCUUUGCUUCAGAGCCUUCCUUCCCCUGUGCAUCCCUGCCCUUCCCCCGACCCCCCGCCUCCUGCCCAUUUUGGUGUGAGAGUCACUGGGGAAUCAGGGUGAUAGCAUUUGUAUUAAAACAAGCCAGCGCACAUGGCUGUAGACCCUUAAGGAUCGUGGAAUGUAAGCAGACUCAUGCUAUGUUCUUUAGGCGCCGGCUGGAGAAGGGACCCUGGUUCGACGGGUCCUGGUGGAAUGGCGAUCCAAGGUGUUUCGAAGAGUUUUCCGGUCAUACAGACCUGAUUUAAACUCCUGCUCAAGCACAAUGUUUGCUGCUUUUUUAAAAAAAAAAAAAAAAAAGAGGGGGGGGAUCCUAUCUUCCAUCUUGCACGCGUGGGGAGGGAGACGGAAGCGCACAAGUGAAAGUAGAAGCACGUUCCCAGAUCCAUUUCUAAGACCUCCUUCUAUCACCUGGAACUUACAUUAUUUUUUCAAAGUGGCCCAUCCUGUAACCUACGUGAGACUGGCCCUCAGUGAAAUGUCCUAUCUGGAGCUCUUCCCUCCUUUGCUGUGGUGCUCACAACUCCUGGUACCCCACUCACUGUAUACCCAAGCCUUUCCUUCAGUCUCGCUGGACCUCUGGCGACGUCUUGUUCAGAUGUUCCAGUCUGGUCUUAGCUCUGCUCUGAGAGAUGCAAGCUGGGAUAAAAGCAGUAAUGGUGCAGAGCCCUCAAGAAGGGAGGGAGGUCCAGCCAUACCUCCUCGUGACGUCCUUUUCCAAACUCGUGCCAUCUGGGUUUCAUUUUAUUAGGGGAGCUAGAGGUGUGCAGGGAGGGCUGGUUAGGAAAUGAGGCUACGUCUGGCAGGGUGUUGGUGACUAUGGUAGGGAUUUUGGAUCUUAUUUUAGGCACAAGGAAAAGCCAGGAAAGGGUUUGGAGUAGUGAACUGACAUGGUUUGAUUUAUGAUUUUUUAAAUUUAUUUAUUAUUAUUAUUGUGCUUUUUAGGGCUGCACCUGUAGCAUAUGGAGACUCCCAGGCUAGGGGUCCAGUCGGAGCCACAGCCAUAGCAACACAGGGUCCUAUACCACAGCUCACUGCAAUGCCAGAUCCUUAACCCACUGAGCAAGGCCAGGGAUCGAACCCGCACCUCAUGAAUACUAGCUGGCUUCAUCUCCGCUGAGCCACAAUAGAAAUUCCAUGAUUUAUGAUUUUAAAACAUCCCUAGGACUGCUGUGUGGAGAAGAGAGAAUAGGGGACAAGACGGCUACAAGAAGAGCAGCUGGAUGGCUGCAGCACUCAGGCAAGAGAUGUUGACUGGCUUUGUGUGCUGUUCAAGCGGUGAGAAGUCAUCAGACUCAGGAUGUGCUUUGAAGAUAAAGCCCACAGGCCUCGUGAAGGACAGCAUGUCAGGUGUGAGGGAGAAUGAGCACUCAGGGCCUGAGCAGCUGGGUGAAUGGCCAUGCUGUUUACUAAGAAGGGGAGAGGCGGGGGCAGAGAGUCUUCUUUGGGACAAGAAUCAAGAGGUAGGUUUUAAGCAUGGAAACUUUGGGAUAUUUAUCAGACAUCCAAGUAUCCAGAGCUCAGGAAGAGGCUGAGUCUAGACAUACAAAUAUGAGCAUCCUUAGCACAUUGAUAAUAUCGGGGCCAUGGGUGGAGUUACUCAGAGAUUGCAUGUAGGUAGAGAAGAGAGGAGGUCCAAGGACUGAACCUGGGUCACUCCUACACUUAUAAAUUUGGACGAGGAGAAAGAGCUACCCCCAAGCUCACUGCCCUGCUCUAGCAGUUUUGUGGAAGUCUCUGCCUGGUUUCCUGGGGCCUCCCAGUCCAGAACUAAGCCCUAUAUAUUAGUGACAGGCUCCUGACCCAAAAUGACCUUGAGUAUCUCGUGGAUUUAGUUCUGGCCCAGGUCCUGGUGGCUUCUUCCUUUAAGCUGGAACCAGAGGUCCCAAGCGGCCGUUUGGCCUCCUUUGCAACCCGGGAGCCUGCCUCUAGACUGAGACCAGCAAACGAAUGGCUUCACCCACUUAUGCUACUGUCUUUCCAUUUUGUGUCUGAACCACAGAGUUGAUUAUUUUGCCUUAGAAAGAAGAUAUGAAUAUGUUGUGACUUCUUAACUUUAUCUGUCAUGCUAUGUGCUUGGGGACUGUGGAGCCAGACGUCUGCCAGGCAAGGGGCAUUGCCAUUUUGCCUGGGGCACCAACAUUUUGAUUUUUAAGAGCUUGUCUAUGGUUCAGCCCCUAAGUCACUCACUUAUAUAAUGUUUAUUGACAGAUAACUGUGAACAUUUAUGAAAUACAGAGUAAGAUAUGGUUCUUGCUCUGCAGGAGCUUAAAAUCAAGCCAGGCAGUUGAAAGCCACAAACAUCACCUGAGGAGUGACAUCCGAGUGUGCAUUCCUCUGUGGAUCUGCGCAGGCACAGUGCCGAGCACAUAGAAGAUUCUCAACACGUGUGAAAGGAACAAGCCCACCAGGGUGAUCAUUGCCCAGAGGCACAGAUUGUCAGUCACAGAUGCCACCAGAGCCAGGGAGGAGGAGAAGGCAAGGGCCGCGCGGUCGGAGAAAGUGGAGGGAGAUGACGUUGGAAGCCACGAGAAGGAGAUGGAUGUUUUAGAGGGACCCCGGGCCUGCUGAUGCGCAAGGCAGUCUGUGCCUGCCCGGGCACAGAGGCACUGCCCUGGAGUGAUCUUGGCCGUCCCAGCAGGGACACUGCCAGUGUACCGGCCCGUGCAUUAUCCUGCAAGACAGGAGGAAGUCAAGCUCCAUCCUUCAGACCUGGGCCCCUGAGCCUAGGUGGCUGCCGAUGCUGCCGAGGGGCAGACACAGAUGUUCACAGAGCCCAGUGGAGGACCUGGACAUUGGGAGGAGACGGCACUUCAGUCGCUCAUGCGAACCCAUCUGGGUGCUGCAGGGGUCUUGGCUCCAAUUCGUUUUAUUUCCUCCCUCACAAGAACAAGAUCCCAAUUUAAAACAAAUGCUCAGUUUACCAAACAGAAAAGGAAAACAGUAGAUGAUAAGACAAAACAAAAAAGAGCAUGUUCUCAGCCAUCUUUGUUCUAUUAUCGCCAUAUUUUGUCUUCCAAAAGAAGCAUCUUUACAUGCAAAUCCAUUUUUGUAUAUUUUGACUGAUUGCUGGCAAGAUAGAGAGACAUAAAUAUUUCUGGAAAUGGA